CAAACAUUCUUCUAUAAAUACAACAUAUCAAAUAAUUUGAAGUAGCCCUUCAAUCAACCUUGUUAGAGCAUUUCCGAGAGAUAGAAACUCGUGGAGUGGUGGUUUUUGUUAAAUGGAACAUGAACACACCUUUUUUUGGCAUUAAAUUACUUUUAAGGUUUCCUCGUUUAUUAUGCAUAAUUUCAUUAUUAAGAGAGUAGUGCAAACCCAGUAAACAUCUUCAUUACCUUAUACUCUUUUGUGGUAUAUGGAAUCAUAAAUCAAAUGAGCUCCCACAUUUCCAUAACCUGAACUUGUUAGUUUCGCUUUUGAAAACGCGGUGUGAAAUGAAAUAAAACCCAAAAUUGAAAAUAAAUAAAAAAGUGCUCUUUUUUCCAUCGUAAAUAUGUUUAUAGAUUAAACCGCAACCCUUGUUGAAAUCAUAAUUGGUAGUCCGUCCAACUCCUUUUCGAUUUCAAACGACUUCAGUGCACGCUUAAAUCCUGCAAAUAAUGAAAUAGAUUUGAAGACUUGUGUAAAUAUGGAACGUGGCACCUUUUAAAAACAGUUUAUUGUUACCACGCGGCCAUCGUAUAUGGUGAACCGCAACGCAAGGGAGUGCCGAGUAGUUGCACUUGAAACAUUUAAAGAAAAAUACCAACCGUUUGGUGGCUGUUGCAGCUGCGUGUCUAUGAAUGCAUUCACUUUUAGGAACUGGGUUAGGCCUAAAUGUGUUGCACUUAUUGCUCUUGGGAAAUCGAAUUGGUCGUUGACAAAAUGUUGUCCGCACAUUUAUUAUUUCAACUAUUCAAAUGCAUCACUGACCAUCUCUUUGCAUACGGAAAAUACUGAGCGGAUAAGGUUUCAUAUAUCACGAAUAUAUUAUGGAAACAAAAUUGCAUUGAGAGGAAGGAAAACAGAAUAUACAGCGAAGUAUAACUAAUAACAUUUCUACUAACAACGGGAGAAGGACGCGAGGUAGACAAUGACGGUAAUCUUCAUGGUGGAAAAAUUCGAUAUGAUUCAGCUGACCUACGUGGUACUGUAAGUAGUGGUGUGUGUGCUGAAGCUGGUGGAAUAAGUACACAUGAGGAAGUUGACGAAUAGGCCAUUAAAUCUUAUUAUAACGAACCCGUACCCCUUUUUCGCCGUGCAGAACGCGUUCAAUCCGAACAUGAUGAACUCAUCAUGACGUACAUGCUCAAGGAGAGAGUUUGGAGUAUCGAUUAUCAGUGAACCAGAUGAAAUUUAUGUUGCUAAUAAAUAAUAUGCAGACUACAAGCAGACUAGACUUAAAACCUUAAAACUUUUAAUAUGGUGGAAUAAUAUUUUACAAACACUCAAAAAGUGUGGGACUUUGGACAUACCUGUACAUCGGAAUGAUCAAAAUCGAAUUCCGUAUCGAAUCCUUAGUUGCCAUAUAAAUUGUACAAUU